rnacentral:rRNA from 1 species
AAAUUGAAGAGUUUGAUCAUGGCUCAGAUUGAACGCUGGCGGCAGGCCUAACACAUGCAAGUCGAACGGUAACAGGAAGCAGCUUGCUGCUUCGCUGACGAGUGGCGGACGGGUGAGUAAUGUCUGGGAAACUGCCCGAUGGAGGGGGAUAACUACUGGAAACGGUAGCUAAUACCGCAUAAUGUCGCAAGACCAAAGAGGGGGACCUUCGGGCCUCUUGCCAUCGGAUGUGCCCAGAUGGGAUUAGCUUGUUGGUGAGGUAACGGCUCACCAAGGCGACGAUCCCUAGCUGGUCUGAGAGGAUGACCAGCCACACUGGAACUGAGACACGGUCCAGACUCCUACGGGAGGCAGCAGUGGGGAAUAUUGCACAAUGGGCGCAAGCCUGAUGCAGCCAUGCCGCGUGUAUGAAGAAGGCCUUCGGGUUGUAAAGUACUUUCAGCGGGGAGGAAGGCAUUGU